rnacentral:rRNA from 1 species
GAGUUUGAUCCUGGCUCAGGACGAACGCUGGCGGCGUGCCUAAUACAUGCAAGUAGAACGCUGACUACUUUAGCUUGCUAGAGUAGAAGGAGUUGCGAACGGGUGAGUAACGCGUAGGUAACCUGCCUACUAGCGGGGGAUAACUAUUGGAAACGAUAGCUAAUACCGCAUAACAGUGUUUAACACAUGUUAGAUGCUUGAAAGAUGCAAUUGCAUCACUAGUAGAUGGACCUGCGUUGUAUUAGCUAGUUGGUGGGUAACGGCCCACCAAGGCGACGAUACAUAGCCGACCUGAGAGGGUGAUCGGCCACACUGGGACUGAGACACGGCCCAGACUCCUACGGGAGGCAGCAGUGGGGAAUAUUGCACAAUGGGGGAAACCCUGAUGCAGCGACGCCGCGUGGAGGAAGAAGGUCUUCGGAUUGUAAACUCCUGUU